AUUUCCUCCUUUACCCUUCCUGGAAAGAAAUGUUUAUAUAUUUUUACAUACAUGUCUGUAUAUUUAUUUUUUACUUUCACAACAUUAAUAGAGUAUGGUGCUUUGUCCAAAUCAAAAUGUGUAGAACUUCCUUCUUCUUUUAAUUAUAUGCAUAGAUUCCAGUGUUUAAAUUUCGUGUAACUACCCUUCCCACGUCCCUUCUUUCUGCCCUCUUGCCAUUAUCAGCUUCUUCAAAUCUAUCAUAUACACAACAGCUGUGAUGAUUAAUACUGAGUGUCAGCUCAAGUGGAUUGAAGGAUGCAAAGUAUUGUUCCUGUGUGUCUGUGAGGGUGUUGCCAAAGAUGUGUCUGUGUGGUGUGUCUGUGAGGGUGUUGCCAAAGGAGAUUAACAUUUGAGUCAGUGGACUGGUAGUGGCAGACCCACCCUCAAUCUGGCUGGACACAAUCUAAUCAGCUGCCAGCGAGGUUAGUAUAAGGCAAAAGAUGGAAGAGGAGACUGUCUGAGUCUUCCGGCUUUCAUCUUUCUCCCAUGCUGGAUGCUUCCUGGCCUUAAGCAUCAAACUUCAAGUUUUUCAGCUUUUGUACUCUUGGACUUACACCAGUGGUUUGCCAGGGGCUUUUGGGCCUUUGGCCACAGACUGAAGGCUGCACUGUCGACUUGCCUGCUUUUGAGGUUUUGGAACUCAAACUGAUUCACCACUGGCUUCCUUGCUCCUCAACUUGCAGAUGGCCUAUCAUGGGAACUUACUUUAUGAUUGCGUGAGUCAAUUCUCCUUAAUAAACUCCCUUUCACAUAUACAUAUAUCCUAUUAGUUCUGUCCCUCUAGCUAACCAUGAAUAAUACAGCAGCCAAAGUAAUCUUUCAAAAUAAAAAUAAAUUAAAACAAAUUUUUUUCUUUUCUUUCUUUUUUUUUUUUUUGAGACGGAGUCUCCCUCAGUCACCCAGGCUGAAGUGCAAUGGCAUGAUCUCAGCUCACUUCAACCUCUGCCUUCCAGUUUCAAGUGAUUCUCCUGCCUCAGCCUCCCGAGUAGUUGGGAUUACAGGCGCCCGCCACCACUCCCGGCUAAUUUUUGUAUUUUUAGUAGAGAUGGGGUUUCACCAGGUUGGCCAGGCUAUAAAAAAAUUUUUUUAAAUGAGGCCAGUACAUAAAACACUGCAAUGAUUUCUUAGGAAUUUAAAAGAUACCUGACGCAGAGUAAACGUUCUACUAAAUAUUUGAUGAAUGAAAGAAAAGAGGAAAAUACAGCUUUACACUCAAGAAAGAAACAAAAGGAACAAGUUGCUUUUCCAUUUUUUUGCUAAACAACACUGAAAUGAGUGUACUUUUUACAUGUAUUUAGGAAUAAUUUUGCAAAGAUUUUCCUGGGAGAUGCAUGGUAAAGGAAUCACUACUGUUGAAGAUCGGCUAUGUAGUCAAAAGUCUGCCCCAAUGUAUGGUACCAAUUUUGACUUUUACCAGUAGUGUAAGUGAAUAGCUACUUCCCUACAUCCUCACCAAGACUGGACAUUAUAAAGUUUUAUAUUUUUGCUAAUAUGGAAGAUCAUUUUAUUUCUUAGCAGAAUAAGGUUUAGCACUGUUUUAUAUGCUUAUUGGGGACAUAAUUUUUUUUAAGAGUCUUUUUAUAUCUAUUGCUACACAAAUGGCCGAUGUUUUCCUUUGUUUUUAAUUAUUCAUAUUUUCUUCAUAGUACCCAUACGUUUUUGGUUUUAACAAAUGUCUAAAAAUUUAUUUAUGUUGGAAAUCUGUGUUUAAACUACUUCAAUUAUUUGGUUAGUAUGUGGUGUUCUUGAGGUAAAUAUCAUAGAUUUGAUAACAGUAUGUGGUAAUUUAUUUCACCUAGAAAAACUGGCUAGGGAAUAUACAACCACUUCCAGCCAUUCUGUAUGCAGGUGAAUCUUGGUUUCCCUGUGGGCAAUGAUGUAUGGAACUUACGAACAAUAUGGGCAGAUCAACAAACAGCACAUAAAGGGGACGAGACACACACACACAGAGACAGAGAGAGAGAGAGAGUGCAAAGCAAGGCAAGGCAAGAGGAGUAAGAAGGUCAUUAUGCAAUCUUUCUCGGACUCAGCUCUCUAAUUCUUAAGAACUAUUAUCCUCCAUUUACAGUUAAGUAAACUGAGGCCCUGGAAAAUGAGGCACUUUAGUUUUAAAAGCUGCUAAAGUCUAUUGCUACAUCAUGCAGUUUCAGUUCUGGACUCCACAUUUUGCUAGGGACAUUACCAACUAUCCAGAAGACAGAGAUGGGAAAUGUAAAGGGACUGCAAAAAAGCCAUGUUACAUAAAGAACCGUGAAAGAAACUGGAAAUAAUUUCCUUAGAGGACAGAAGAUUCCUAGGAAAUAAGACAAUGAACAAUGAGUGUUGGAGAAUGUCCUUUCCUGCCUCUUAAUCAUUCUGAAUCGAAACUAAUGAUAAACUUCAAUCAAUGACAUUGAGGGGAUGGGUAAGGGAUAAUAUAAAGAGUCCUCUAUGCAUGCUAAUUUGUUGUUACAUGUGACCUAAGAUGGUGGUUUCUUGCUUUAAAGACCUUACUAAUCAUUACAGAGUAUUCUUAUUCUCUGCUCAAUAAUUUGGAAAUGACUUAGGUCCUGUAACUCUCUGUGUCUCUAAUUUCUGAUCUCUGUAUUCAUCCAUGCUGUCUUUAGUACAAGUAUUUAUUUAUGUAGACUUCCCUUGUUCUGUUCUUUAUGUUACAUGGAGGAAAUUCUGAGAAACUUCAUCAGUAGCACUAUGAAACUCCUUCCAUACAGAACAGUCUAGAACAGGCAUUGUCAAACUGGGCUAAAUCUGUUCUGCCAUCUGCUUUUCUAAAGAAAAUGUUGUUGGAACACAACCACGUUCAUUCAUUUCUGUAUUGUCUGUGGCAGAGAUUGACCAUCACGAUAGAGACCAUAUGAGUUGAAAAGCCUAAAACAUUUAUUACCUGGCUCUGAACAGAAAAUACUUGCUGACUUCUGGUCUGGAACAGCACUGUGUAUAUACCUCAGGUUUAAUACUGGAAGUCUCCAUUAGUCCUUCUUCAGAGGUGACUAGAGUGCACAGUCAUAAUGACAGGGCCCCAAGGACUUCUCUAACUCACACUCCCUGUCCAGUCACCUUCACUGCAACAACCAUCUUACCAAGGGGUGCUGUCACUGCUCCUGUCCACUUUCUGGCCGUCAGAUGCCUCGAGAGUUCUUCUUGCCCUUGAUAAGGAAUAAACUUGUCAGUUGCAUGUGGCAGUUUUUCAACUGAUUUGGGAGAUGAUGCAGAUUUUGCUAUUUCUUAACUUUCAAUUGUUGUGUUUUCUGGUUCUCAGUAGGGAGACAUGAAGAAAAUUGCUGAUUCCCUUCAGUUAAAUAACAGUUUAGAUUAAACCAGCAAGAACUUUUGCUCUUUAAUAAAAUGCAAAGUUACCAUGCCUUUCUCCGGCUCGAUCAUUCAUGCAUCAUAAUGUGAAUGGAGUUGUAGGAGUAUGAUGUUUAUUCUCACAAUAGGUUUAAUUCUGAGUAAAAGCACUAAUUGAAAAAUCAGAAGAAUUUUGUCUUUAAGAGCUCAUGUUAAUGCAUGCAUUCAUCCAUCUGAAUUUUGAUGAUCUCGGUUUUUUUCUGUGUAAAUUCUUAUCAGAAUGGAGUGACUCUAAAUUGCGCCCUGCUUGUAACUUUCAUGUAUGAUUUGCUCCCUUGUUGUUUACCAGCCCUUUUAAAACUACAUAGUAGAAAGAAAAUAUUUUAAACAAUGUCACAUCCAGACGGUGAUUUCUCAAAGCUUCAAAUGCAGGCUUUAAUCCUUCUCCCAGGUUAGCCAGACUCAGGCUGCUGCACAGCACUGGGGCUUUUCAGACACAUUAAGGAUUCUGGACAGGCUUCACCCCAGACACCCUUGUGCUC
rnacentral:lncRNA from 10 species